rnacentral:rRNA from 1 species
GACAGAGGGGGCAAGCGUUGCUCGGAAUUACUGGGCGUAAAGGGCGCGUAGGCGGGAUGGCAAGUCGGUCGUGAAAUCCCUCGGCUCAACCGAGGAACGUCGAUCGAUACUGCUGUUCUUGAGGAUUGCAGAGGAGACUGGAAUUCCCGGUGUAGCGGUGAAAUUCGUAGAUAUCGGGAGGAACACCAGUGGCGAAGGCGGCGACCUGGGCCAAUAUUGACGCUGAGGUGCGAAAGCGUGGGGAGCAAACAGG